rnacentral:rRNA from 1 species
UACGUAGGAUGCAAGCGUUGUCCGGAAUUAUUGGGCGUAAAGGGUGCGCAGGCGGUUUUUCAAGUCAGAUGUGAAAUCUCCCGGCUUAACUGGGAGGGGCCAUUUGAAACUGGAGGACUAGAGUGCAGGAGAGGAUAGCGGAAUUCCCGGUGUAGUGGUGAAAUGCGUAGAUAUCAGGAGGAACACCGGUGGCGAAGGCGGUUCUCUGGGCAUUACCUGACGCUGAGGAGCGAAAGUGUGGGGAGCGAACAGG